AUGAGGCAAUUGCACCAAAACAAUAGCCUUCCCUGGAUCUUAAUAGGUGACCUAAAUGAAAUUCAGUUUCUUCAUGAGAAGGAGGGCGGAAACCCUCGCCCUACUCAGUACAUGCAAGCGUUUCAGGGGGCUAUUGAUGACUGUGAGCUACACGAUCUUGGUUUCAUCGGAGAUCGGUUUACUUGGCACCGUGGAAGGAUUCGAGAACGGUUAGAUAGAGGCCUAGUAAAUGAGGCAUGGGCAGACUUGUUCCCUCAUGCGGCUCUUGAAAAUUUGGAGUACAAUCACUCGGAUCACCGACCACUACUAGUAAACACUUCCUAUUACAAUGGUAUGGGAAAUAGUAGGGGUAGCGCCUGUCCGAAAAGAUUUGAAUCAAGAUGGUUACGGGAAGAGGAAUUCUGUAACCUGGUUACGGAAGCUUGGGCGGAAGCUGGUGCAUGCCGGGUCUGUCUGGUAUAG
rnacentral:rRNA from 1 species